UUUUUGUAAUAGAUAGUGUGGACAUGAUAAAUGUAUUUGAUGUUAUGUAAAAGUACAGUUUAGACAUGUAAUGUAAUGAGGCUUAUGGAUGAUAGAGGUGUGCUUGACCAUAGAAUGUUGUUAUCCCUUUAAUACAUGAUCUUAGAUGUUUUAUGAUGUUUAUGUAAACCAACUCAACAUAUGUUGUAUCGCCCAUUGGGGCAUUGAUGAGAUCCCA
rnacentral:lncRNA from 1 species